AUCGAAUAGAGGUCAAAACAUGUAAACAUUGGACCGAUACAGAGGUGAUUAGCAUGGCCCCUGUAGAGGGAUGCACACCAAUUGAGAAAUGGUCCAAAUUUUU